rnacentral:rRNA from 1 species
AUUAUACUGCGAAACUGCGAAUGGCUCAUUAAAUCAGUUAUCGUUUAUUUGAUAGUACCUUACUACUUGGAUAACCGUGGUAAUUCUAGAGCUAAUACAUGCUAAAAAUCCCGACUUCGGAAGGGAUGUAUUUAUUAGAUUAAAAACCAAUGCCCUUCGGGGCUCUCUGGUGAUUCAUGAUAACUUCUCGAAUCGCAUGGCCUUGCGCCGGCGAUGGUUCAUUCAAAUUUCUGCCCUAUCAACUUUCGACGGCUGGGUCUUGGCCAGCCAUGGUGAUCAACGGGUAACGGAGAGUUAGGGUUCGACUCCGGAGAAGGAGCCUGAGAAACGGCUACCACAUCCAAGGAAGGCAGCAGGCGCGCAAAUUACCCAAUCCCGACACGGGGAGGUAGUGACAAUAAAUACUGAUACAGGGCUCUUUUGGGUCUUGUAAUUGGAAUGAGUACAAUUUAAAUCCCUUAACGAGGAACAAUUGGAGGGCAAGUCUGGUGCCAGCAGCCGCGGUAAUUCCAGCUCCAAUAGCGUAUAUUAAAGUUGUUGCGGUUAAAAAGCUCGUAGUUGAACCUUGGGCCUGGCUGGCCGGUCUGCCUCACCGCGUGUACUGGUUCGGCCGGGCCUUUCCCUCUGGGGAACCGCAUGCCCUUCACUGGGUGUGCCGGGGAACCAGGACUUUUACUUUGAAAAAAUUAGAGUGUUCAAAGCAGGCCUAUGCUCGAAUACAUUAGCAUGGAAUAAUAGAAUAGGACGUGCGGUCCUAUUUUGUUGGUUUCUAGGACCGCCGUAAUGAUUAAUAGGGAUAGUCGGGGGCAUCAGUAUUCAAUUGUCAGAGGUGAAAUUCUUGGAUUUACUGAAGACUAACUACUGCGAAAGCAUUUGCCAAGGAUGUUUUCAUUAAUCAGUGAACGAAAGUUAGGGGAUCGAAGACGAUCAGAUACCGUCGUAGUCUUAACCGUAAACUAUGCCGACUAGGGAUCGGACGAUGUUAUUUUUUUGACUCGCUCGGCACCUUACGAGAAAUCAAAGUCUUUGGG